GCCAGGCAUGGUGGCGCAUGCCUGUAAUCCCAGCUACUUGGGAGGCUGAGGCAAGAGAAUCGUUUGAACCUGGGAGGCGGAGGUUGCAGUGAGCCAACCUCCGCCUCCCAGGUGGAGGUUGCCACUGCACUCCAGCCUGGGCAACAGAGCGAGACUCUGUCUCAA
rfam:Pan troglodytes isolate Yerkes chimp pedigree #C0471 (Clint) chromosome 2A, whole genome shotgun sequence.